rnacentral:rRNA from 1 species
AUUGAACGCUGGCGGCAGGCCUAACACAUGCAAGUCGAACGAGUGGCGGACGGGUGAGUAAUGUCUGGGAAACUGCCCGAUGGAGGGGGAUAACUACUGGAAACGUUAGCUAAUCCCCCUUACCAUCGUAUUUGCCCCGAUGGGAUUGGCUAUUAGGUGGGGUAACGGCUCACCUAGGCAACGAUCCCUAGCUGGUUUGAGCGGAGGACCAGCCACACUGGGACUGAUACACGGUCCAGACUCCUACGGGAGGCAGCAGUGGGGAAUAUUGCACAAUGGGCGCAAGCCUGAUGCAGCCAUGCCGCGUGUAUGAAGAAGGCCUUCGGGUUGUAAAGUACUUUCAGCGAGGAGGCGUUACUCGCAGAAGAAGCACCGGCUAACUCCGUGCCAGCCGCCGCGGUAAUUC